CCUACUUUGUCUUGGAAUCAAUAUGUAGCAAUAUUGAAAGCACAAUUCCAGUUCGUACCAGUUGUACUUUCCUUUUCCCUGCUCGUGUUUUAGCACCAGAUAUAAGCUGCUGUGUACUAAUGUAUGAUCUGGAUCCUGCAACAGCUCCUACACCUUUACCGCGAUUAUCAUUGAAUAGACUCUUUGCAACAUUGGCAGUUUUAGCAUUUUUGG
rnacentral:lncRNA from 1 species